GUCGGGCCCGCCGCCCGCGCUGCCGCCGCGCCAGCUGUCCGCCGCCGCGGACCUCGCCGGGCCCAGAUCGUCGAGCCCGGUCCGCGCAUCGCGGCAGGCGUCCGUAGGCGCGCCCUUCGCGGCGUCGAACCCGUUCACGACGCCGCGGCACGCCGAGUUCGUCAUCCCGCAGAGAAACAACGUGCGCCGCUCCUCCACCACAGACAGAAACUAAACCACUUGCGCUCACUACGAGACACGAGAGUACAUUGGGUAAUUGACACUUAACCAAUAUUCGCAAACACUAUUGUUUUAACUCAACUACUCCUAUGCUAAUAAAGAGUUACACGCACGUUGACCACUUGUUCAAAAUGUAAUGCAAUAAAAAUUUGAAUAAAAUAUGUUAUUUCCAUACUAGUGUUCAACGUGCGUUUAACUUUUAUUAGUAAGCCAGCUAGUUUUCAAUUAACUGUAAAAUUGAGUUCGAGUUGUUUUGAAAAAAUUACUCACAUACAUUACACAUCACAAUAUUCACUAAAUAGUUGAUAUGAAUUUUCAUUUAAUUUUUUCUGAAUUUUCAUUUCAGCGAGUGUAGUAUACGUCGCUAUAUACCUAAUUCAUAUAUUCUACAUACCGUUAUAUUUACGGCUAAAGUAUGAAGUGAUGUCAAUUACCUAAGUGUUGUGUUGCGAGAUAUUUGUCUAAUAGUGAGUACCUACGAGGCUUCAAAGCGAAUUUGUUAUUCGACUUUUUAAUUUGAUAUAAGAACUACCUAUAAAUAAACCAAAUACAUACCAUAAUGUCUACGAUCAAAUUUUAAACUGAUACAAAAUGGGCGGUAAUUUGACCUUCGCAUUUUAUGCCAAUUUAUCACUCAUCGGUCGAGGGUAAAAAUUAAUCCAUUGGUAAUUUCGACUCACGGUACAGUGACACAGUCAGACAGUCACAGUAACAAAAUGGGAAUCUUAUGUCAAAUUACUUAAUUGAAUAAAAAUCCACAUCAUCAUCAUCCGUGGCCCGUUUGCGUCGCUAACCUGUCUGUAACCAUAUCUGUGAUUGUAAGGUGAUGUAUUUAGCUGGAACGGUACAAGUCAUAGAAAAAAGUUGAUACCAAUCACAAGAAAAUUUGUUUGGCGAUUGUGCUAACUUAUUAGUUAAUUGUAAUUCCCUAAAGAUCCGCUAGCUAAAAGUUUACAGUUGGGCUGCUUUUGAGAAGAUGCCUAGCUGGCAUCGGUUUUAUUAGGGUAGUAGUACUUUUUUGAGGUCACACAAUAUAUUUGACAAAUUCUCAAAUUAAUGAAGCGGCUGUAAAACCAUUGUAUUUCAUUCCAGAUAAAUAAAUUACCAAUAACUUUAAUCCAAAUUUUAUCAAUUAGGUGACAGGUCUCAUUUUUUAUCCGAUAAAAAAUACUCUUCACUAGAAAAAAUAUGAUAGCUCGUACAUUUUAUUUAACUAUUUGGUUUUAUGUAAUAUCUUUAUUUAAUUUGGGAUCUGUCAUCUCAUUGUUAUUAUUAGUCAAAUAAAGAAUAUAUUACUAAUAUAUGCCAAUACAUAUUAAUCGUUUAAAAUACCUAUUAAGAGAAGCGACGUGCGAAGAUAGAUGCACUAAAAGAACUUUAGUCUAAUAAAUGUUAGAGACCUGUCAGUGUUCCUUAUGAUGGUAAUUAUCGAAUUUUGCCAUAAGUCCUUAGUAUUUUAGCCUGUUGUUAAAAAAACUACAUAAACUAUAAAAUAAUAUUGCUGCUAUGCAAAGAUUAUGAAAUAUUUAUUUAUUAGAAGUUGUGUUCAUUUGUAAAAUUAUAUAUUUUUUUUGUAGAAUUAGCUAUAGCACUUAUUAUAUUAUGUCGCCUUCCUUAAGUAUUUGUUAUAUUUUGAUUUAUAACCAAUAUAAAAUAUUAUAACCCUUGGCCAUAAAUACACAAUAAGCACUGGAAUUUCCAGGAAUUUGAACAAUAAAAUGUGUCUAUAAAAA